CACUUGACAUACAAAAAAAAAGAAAGUAAAUGCUCAACACACGCACACACACACACACACACACACACAUACAAAAAAAUGUUCCCAGCGCCCAAUGAACGUUUGAAAAAAGAAAAACAAAAAACAAAAAGUCGGAACGUUCUCAACACCAAAUAAACUUUUAAAACAAGCAAAAAAUAAAAAAAAAAGACAAUCGUUCUCAGCGCCAGACGUUCCCAGCGCCGGUACGAUGUGUGGAAAGGUACAGAAAAAAAGAUAGAAAAGGUAAAGAAAAAUAGAAAAAAAGAUAGAAAAUGAUAGAAAAGAUAGAAAAACGGGAAAAAUAUAGAAAAGAGAAAAAAUAUAGAAAAAAAGAUAGAAAAAGAUAGAAAAGGUAUGAAAAAGAUAGAAAAAAUGAUAGAAAAGAUAGAGAAAAUAUAGGAAAAAGUAGAAAAAUAUAGAAAAGAUGGAAAAAAGAUAGAAAAAGAUAGAAAAUGUUAGAAAAGAUAAAAAAAAAGACAAAGAAAAAAAUGUAGAUGUGCAAAAAAUGAGAAAAGUUAUUAAUCUAGAAAAAAAGCGAGAGUGUAAUAGAAAAAAAAAACCAGUAACGUUGGGAAAUGUGCUAAGUGCUAAGUGGGUGGGAAAUGGGUGGCUGAGGGAAGAGAGGAAGACCCAGGACGAGAUGGAAGAACUGUAUUGUGGCGGACGGCAGGGAGAAGAACUUGGACCUUGAAGUAGCGGAGGACAGGGUUAGACGGAGGAGACUCAUCAAAAACAGCGACCCCAUAUAGAAACGGGAUAAUAAUGCUGCGGAAGAAGAAGUUGGUAAAUGUGCUAACUGAGGCAUUGGUGAUUGUGACGGCGAAAUGAAGAAACGAAGAACCGGGUGAAGAUAUUGAAAAAGGACGGAGAAUUCAGAACUAUCGAAGGAAGACGCAGAUUCCGGAGAAAACGUUGUGAAAAAUAUGCAACCUGGGAAGAAAUGCUACUGAUCAAGAUACCUCAAAAUCGGUAAUAGAAAUUGAAAAAAUGAACUUAGAACUCGAAGGAAAUAUUGAAGAGAUCAUUUAAGUGGGAAAAAGUAUUAAAAAGAGAACGACAAACAGGGAAGAAAACAUAUCAAGAGACCGAACCGGGCGGGAAGAAAUAUUACCCCCCCCAAAAAAUCCCGAGGGAAUAUUGGAAAAUAAAAACCCAGAAUGUUGAAAAAAACAAACAGGAGAAAAAAACGAUAAAGAACUGUGAACUCGGAGGAAAAAUUGACCAAGACCUGGGAACUGGGACAAACGUACUUAAUAAACGCAAAACAAAUAAAGAUAAUGAAAAAGAACAUCGAACAGACAAAAGAAAAUAUUGAUAAAAGAGACAAAAGGCGAGAGGAUGCACCGGGUAUUCGAUAUAUAUGCAAGUUCGAAAUAUGCGCAUUCGCUUAUAUGCGACUAACCAAAAUGUCCCACGUUUUGGUUUUAUGCGAGAAGGCGGCGGGUGCAAAUGUUUUCCCGCACUUAAGUUAAUCCUUAGGUAUCUAAUUGUCAGCUUAAAUCCUUAGGUAUCUAAUCGUCAGCUUAAAUCCUUAGGUAGCUAAUUGUCAGCUUAAAUCCUUAGGUAUCUAAUCGUCAGCUUAAAUCCUUAGGUAUCUAAUCGUCAGCUUAAAUCCUUAGGUAGCUAAUUGUCAGCUUAAAUCCUUAGGUAGCUAAUUGUCAGCUUAAAUCCUUAGGUAUCUAAUCGUCAGCUUAAAUCCUUAGGUAGCUAAUCGUCAGCUUAAAUCCUUAGGUAGCUAAUUGUCAGCUUAAAUCGUAGACUUUGGGUGUGUCUCCCCGGAAGCAAUCAGCAGCUCUGGGUUGUCAGACUCGGAGAAGCUCUACUCUGAAUGGGGUACAUAUAACUUCGAGUAUAAUAUCUAUGUCCUAAUGUCCCUUCAGUAAGAUUCAAAAAACGUAUUUUCAUAUUAUAAUCUAUAGGUCAUCUGUACUAAUGUGCUUUAUUGUGAAACGGUGCCGGAAUAGAUAGUUAGAGGGUUCGACAACGGGUCUUGGAAGAUAACCUCCUAUAAUUAAUGGGAUGAUUGGUUCUAUAUAUGCGAAUUCAUAUUAUGCGAGCUUUUUGCAGAACGUAAUCCUCGCAUAUAACAAAUACCUGGUGUAUAAUUGGUUCUUCUACUGCUGGUGGUGGUGACGGAGGCGGUGCAGGUGCUGGAGACGUCGGUUAGCGCGUGACCCACUAGUAGAGAAGUCCAACAAGGGCGGCACAGGAGCAGCAUCAGGCCGGGGAGGGGCAGAGUCGGGUCGUUGAACAAGCCUUCGAGACGUGGGGGAUUAGCCGAGUUGGGAGGAGUUGGAAAAUUAGGGAUUACACUACACGAGAAGAAGAAGAAGAAGAAGAAGAAGAAGAAGAAGAAGAGGAAGAAGAAGAAGAAGAAGAAGAAGAAGAAGAAGAAGAUGAAGAAGAAGAAGAAGAUGAAGAACAAGAACAAGAAGAAGAAGAAGAAGAAGAAGAAGAAGAAGAAGAAGAAGAAGAAGAAGAAGAAGAAGAAGAAGAAGAAGAAAAAGAAGAAAAAAAUGAUGAUGAAGAAGAAAAGCAGAAAAAAAGAUGAGGUUGAAGAAGAUGAAAAAGAAGAUUACAAGGAAAAGGAAAGCAGCAACAUAAAGAACUACUUAAAGACAAGAAGAAGGAAGUAUAAGGAAGAGAAGAUAGGAAGGAUAUAAGCGGGAAGAAAGAGGAGGAGGAGAAGGACGAGGACGAGAUAACUUAGAGAAAAAGAAAAAAGGAACAAAAAGGAAUAGAAGGAGAGAGAAAGGAUAUAAAGAAGAAGCACCAAAGAGGAAAAAAAAGAAGAAGGAGAAGAAGAAGGAGGAGGAGGGAAAAGAAAAGUAAGAAAAAGAAGAACUACAAACAAAACAAAGAGGAAAGGGGAAGAAGGAUAAAAGUGACCACCAGCAAAGAAGAAAGAAGGAUAAGGAGGAGGAAGAGGCAGAAAAGUAGAGAGAAGAAGGAAGAGGAGGAGGAGAGAGAGAGGAAGGAAAACACGGAGAGGAGGAAGGUGGGGGAAACAGGAAAGAGAAAUGGAGAAGCGUGAAGCAACAGGAAGAUAAAAUGGAGUAGUGGGAAGAGACGGAGAAGAGGGAGUUAGAAAGAAAAGGAGAGGAGGAGGAGAUAGUGGAGAAGGAUUAGGUUAGAGAGACAAGAGAAGCAUUACCAGACCAACGAAGAGGAAGAGGAGGAGGAGGAGGAGAAAGAGAAGAGAAAGAUAAAAAAACAACAGUAAGAGGAAAACAUGAGGAAGAAAGAAGGAAGAGAGAAGAAGGAAGAGGAGGAGGAGGAAGAUGUGGUGGAGUUGUUUGUUAAAAGAAUGAGAAAAGUGGAGACAAAAGGAAAAAGUGAGAAAGAAGAGAAGGAGGAAGAAGUGGAAAGAGGAGGAGGAGGAGGAGGAGGAGGUGGAGAAGAGUGGCAAGGAAGACAUAGUGGGAGGAAUAAGUCUGCGGAGGAGGAGGAGGAGGAGGAGGAAAGUGGAGAUAAAGAGGAUGAUGAGAGGAAGAGGAGGAGGAGGAGGAGGAGGAGGAGGAGGAGGAAGAGAGUGGUAUUAAAACUUAUUACUCGUGUGUGUGUGUGUGUGUGUGUGUGUGUGUGUGUGUGUGUGUGUGUGUCUAGGGUUACAAAAAAUAAGUGUAUAAAUAAAUAGGCUUAAGAUGGCGUGUG